rnacentral:rRNA from 1 species
AGAGUUUGAUCCUGGCUCAGAACGAACGCUGGCGGCGUGCCUAACACAUGCAAGUCGAACGGAAUGAGGGGGCUUGCUCCUUCAUUUAGUGGCGCACGGGUGAGUAACGCGUAGAUAAUCUGCCUGAUGAUCUGGGAUAACAUCUCGAAAGGGGUGCUAAUACCGGAUAAGCCCACGGGGUCUUUGGACUCUGCGGGAAAAGGGGGGGACCUCCGGGCCUUCUGUCAUCAGAUGAGUCUGCGUACCAUUAGCUAGUUGGUAGGGUAAUGGCCUACCAAGGCGACGAUGGUUAGCUGGUCUGAGAGGAUGAUCAGCCACACUGGAACUGAGACACGGUCCAGACUCCUACGGGAGGCAGCAGUGGGGAAUUUUGCGCAAUGGGCGAAAGCCUGACGCAGCAACGCCGCGUGAGUGAUGAAGGCUUUCGGGUCGUAAAGCUCUGUCAAGGGGAAAGAAGUGUAUUGUGGUUAAUACCCGCGAUACUUGACGGUACCCCUAAAGGAAGCACCGGCUAACUCCGUGCCAGCAGCCGCGGUAAUACGGAGGGUGCAAGCGUUGUUCGGAUUUAUUGGGCGUAAAGCGCGUGUAGGCGGUUUAUUAAGUCUGAUGUGAAAGCCCUGGGCUCAACCCAGGAAGUGCAUUGGAUACUGGUAGACUUGAAUACGGGAGAGGGCAGUGGAAUUCCUGGUGUAGGAGUGAAAUCCGUAGAUAUCAGGAGGAACACCGGUGGCGAAGGCGGCUGCCUGGACCGAUAUUGACGCUGAGACGCGAAAGCGUGGGUAGCAAACAGGAUUAGAUACCCUGGUAGUCCACGCCGUAAACGAUGAGUACUAGGUGUUGCGGGUAUUGACCCCUGCAGUGCCGCAGCUAACGCAUUAAGUACUCCGCCUGGGAAGUACGGUCGCAAGACUAAAACUCAAAGGAAUUGAUGG